rnacentral:pre_miRNA from 1 species
CGGGGGAGGCCGGAUCCUGGGCUGUGUCCCGGCGCCCUGUGCUCUGAGGCCUGCGCUGUGGAUUCGCUUCCGCCCCGCAGCCCCCU